AGAGGUAGUGGUGUUGUUUCUGAUGUUGCUGCUAGUGAUUGGUAGUCUCGUUCCCCAGGAUAUGCUAACAAUGUUGUGCUGGAUUCCGGCUUAGGUAAUGAAUGCUACACAGUAGUUUAUAGAUUUUAACUUUAGAAAUCAAUCUAAUCUGUCUUAAUUGAAUGCAGGGCGGAUGGAAGAAUCCUGUAGUAGACCUCCAAAGGAUACAUCUUCACUUGCUCUUAUAGCUUUGACCUAUGAGGAUGCUUCCGACCUUGAAAGUGAACUGAGAGAAGUUUCCCCUGCACCUGGCCUUGAUGAGGAC
rnacentral:lncRNA from 1 species